rnacentral:rRNA from 1 species
CACGUAGGGAGCAAGCGUUGUCCGGAUUUAUUGGGCGUAAAGAGCUCGUAGGUGGUUCGGUAAGUCAGGUGUGAAACCUCCAGGCUCAACCUGGAGACGCCACUUGAUACUGCUGUGACUGGAGUCCGGUAGGGGAGCGUGGAAUUCUCGGUGUAGCGGUGAAAUGCGUAGAUAUCGAGAGGAACACCUGCGGCGAAGGCGGGUUGCUGGGCUGACACUGACGCUGAUGUGCGAAAGCUAGGGGAGCGAACGGG